CUUCUAUUUAUGUGGGGGAUCCAACAUGGCGGCCGCGGCGACCCUGGCGAUGGCGGUGAAGCCCAUCAGAACGUAGUAGCGGGGAAGGGGACACGGUCCGCACUCACCGUGGCGUCGGCGGAGACGGCUGAGGGUGGUGGAGGGAAGAAAAGCGACGGAGAACAAGAGGAAGGGCGGGCAGGCACGCAGCGCGGCGUAGAAGCGAGCGCCGGCUCGAGCUAAAGCAGAGGGCCAGAACAGUGGGGAUGGCGGAGCCGCGCAGAGUAGCGUUCAUUAGCUUGUCACCGGUGCGGCGACGCGAGGCCGAGUACCCGGGGCCCGACCGCGAGCCCGAGUACCCCCGCGAACCCCCCCGGCUGGAGCCGCAGCCGUACCACGAGCCGGCCCGGGCGGAGCCGCCGGCCCCGCGGGAGCCUGCCCCCCGCUCGGACGCGCAGCCCCCGCCGCGGGAGAAGCCGCUCCCCCAGCGCGAGAUCAGCCGCGCCGAGCCGCCCAUGUCGCUGCAGCGCGAGCCCCCGCGGCCCGAGCCGCCGCCGCCGCUCCCGCAGCUGCCCUUGCAGCCGCCCCCGCCGCGGGAGUCGGCUUCCCGGGCUGAGCAGCCGCCGCGGCCGCCGAGGGAGACGGUGCGCUUGGAGCUGGUGCUCAAGGACCCCACCGACGAGAGCUGCGUGGAGUUCAGUUACCCGGAGCUGCUGCUGUGCGGAGAACAACGGAAGAAGCUCAUUCACACAGAAGACCCAUUUAAUGAUGAACAUCAGGAGAGGCAAGAGGUGGAAAUGUUGGCUAAGAAAUUUGAAAUGAAAUAUGGUGGGAAACCCCGUAAACACCGGAAGGAUCGGCUACAAGAUUUAAUUGAUAUAGGCUUUGGCUAUGAUGAGACAGAUCCAUUUAUUGAUAACUCAGAGGCUUAUGACGAAUUAGUUCCCGCUUCUCUAACAACAAAAUAUGGAGGCUUUUAUAUCAACACUGGCACUCUACAGUUUCGCCAAGCUUCAGAUACUGAAGAAGAUGAUAUUACAGACAACCAAAAGCACAAGCCACCCAAAGUCCCCAAAAUAAAAGAAGAUGAUAUUGAGAUGAAGAAGCGGAAGCGGAAAGAGGAAGGGGAAAAGGAGAAGAAGCCAAGGAAAAAAGUACCCAAACAACUGGGAGUUAUGGCUCUAAAUUCACACAAGUCUGAAAAAAAGAAGAAACGUUACAAAGAUUCUCUUUCUCUGGCUGCCAUGAUCAGAAAAUUCCAGAAAGAGAAGGAUGCAUUAAAGAAAGAGUCUAACCCCAAAGUCCCAGUGACCUUGUCAACCCCCUCUCUAAAUAAACCCCCAUGUGCUGCUGCAGCACUGGGGAAUGAUGUCCCGGACUUAAAUCUGAGCAGCACUGAUCCAGACCUUCCCAUUUUUGUUAGCACAAAUGAACAUGAGCUGUUUCAGGAAGCUGAAAAUGCCCUAGAGAUGCUAGAUGAUUUCGACUUCGACAGACUACUAGAUGCUGCUUCUGAUGGUAGCCCCCUAUCUGAAUCGGGGGGUGAAAAUGGAACCACCACCCAGCCAACCUACACUUCUCAGGUUAUGCCCAAAGUGGUACCUACACUCCCAGAGGGUCUACCUGUACUUCUUGAAAAACGUAUUGAAGACCUUCGUGUAGCUGCCAAACUUUUUGAUGAAGAAGGAAGGAAAAAAUUCUUUACACAGGAUAUGAAUAAUAUUCUUCUGGACAUUGAGUUACAGCUACAAGAACUAGGCCCCGUCAUUCGCAGUGGUGUCUACUCCCACCUUGAAGCUUUUGUGCCAUGCAAUAAAGAAACACUUGUAAAACGUCUAAAGAAGUUACAUCUCAAUGUCCAGGAUGAUCGUUUAAGAGAACCUCUGCAAAAAUUGAAACUGGCUGUUAGCAAUGUCAUGCCUGAACAGCUAUUUAAAUACCAGGAGGACUGCCAGGCUCGUAGUCAAGCUAAGUGUGCCAAAUUGCAUACAGAUGAAGAACGUGAAAAAAAUGGAUCCGAAGAAGAUGAUGAUGAGAAACCAGGAAAACGUGUCAUAGGACCAAGAAAGAAAUUCCACUGGGAUGAUACCAUCAGAACUUUGUUAUGUAACCUUGUUGAGAUCAAAUUGGGAUGCUAUGAGUUAGAACCAAAUAAAAGCCAGUCUGCUGAAGAUUAUCUUAAGUCUUUUAUGGAGACAGAGGUGAAGCCCCUGUGGCCUAAGGGCUGGAUGCAGGCAAGAAUGCUUUUUAAGGAAAGCCGGAGUGUUCAUAAUCAUCUUACUUCUGCUCCGGCAAAGAAAAAGGUGAUUCCUGCACCUAAACCCAAAGUAAAGGAGGUGAUGGUAAAGACCCUUCCUCUCCAUUCUUUCCCCACUAUGCUUAAGGAGUAUAGUCCAAAAAAGGACCAGAAAACUCCGGCAUCCCUGGUGGCUUCGGUUAGCGGUCCUCCAACGAGCUCCAGCACAACUGCCGUUGCUGCAGCCAGCUCUAGCUCUGCACCAGCCCAAGAAACCAUCUGCCUCGACGACUCACUAGAUGAAGACCUUUCUUUCCAUUCACCUUCACUGGAUCUUGUUUCUGAAGCUUUAGCGGUUAUCAACAAUGGGAACAAGGGCCCUCCUGUUGGCUCAAGGAUAAGCAUGCCAACCACAAAGCCUCGUCCAGGACUGAGAGAAGAAAAAUUAGCUAGUAUCAUGAGUAAGCUGCCACUGGCUACCCCCAAAAAACUAGAUUCUACUCAGCCUACACAUUCUUCAAGUCUUAUUGCUGGUCACACAGGGCCAGUACCAAAGAAACCCCAGGAUUUAGCUCAUACUGGCAUCUCUUCAGGCCUUAUUGCUGGUUCUUCCAUUCAGAACCCUAAAGUUUCUUUAGAACCUUUGCCAGCCAGGCUACUUCAACAAGGACUUCAGAGGUCAAGCCAGAUUCACACUUCUUCCUCUUCACAGACCCAUGUCUCCUCUUCUUCCCAAGCCCAAAUUGCUGCCUCUUCUCAUGCUCUGGGAACAUCUGAGGCCCAAGAUGCUUCUUCAUUAACACAAGUAACAAAGGUGCACCAGCAUUCAGCUGUCCAGCAGAACUAUGUGUCUCCAUUACAGGCCACCAUCAGUAAAUCCCAGACCAACCCUGUGGUGAAGUUAAGUAAUAAUCCCCAACUCUCCUGUCCCUCCUCGCUUAUUAAGACUUCAGAUAAGCCACUUAUGUACCGCCUUCCUUUAUCUACCCCCUCACCUGGAAAUGGUUCUCAAGGGUCCCACCCCCUGGUUUCUAGGACAGUACCUAGCACCACUACCUCCAGUAACUAUUUAGCCAAGGCUAUGGUGUCACAGAUCUCCACGCAGGGUUUCAAAUCUCCCUUCUCGAUGGCUGCCUCCCCAAAACUUGCCGCAUCUCCCAAGCCUGCCACAUCUCCUAAACCCCUGCCCUCGCCUAAGCCUUCUGCCUCACCCAAGCCCUCUCUGUCAGCUAAGCCUUCAGUAUCAACUAAACUUAUUUCUAAAUCCAACCCGACUCCCAAGCCUACUGUAUCCCCAAGUAGUUCCAGUCCAAAUGCACUAGUAGCCCAGAGUAGCCACUCCAGCACUAACAACCCGGUCCAUAAACAGCCCAGUGGAAUGAACAUCAGCAGACAGUCUCCCACCUUGAAUUUAUUGCCCUCUAAUCGCACUUCAGGCCUUCCAUCUACAAAAAAUCUUCAGGCCCCUUCAAAGCUAACAAACUCAUCAUCCACUGGAACUGUUGGGAAGAAUAGCUUGAGUGGAAUUGCAAUGAAUGUACCUGCCAGCAGAGGUAGCAACCUUAACUCAAGCGGAGCUAAUAGGACUAGUCUAUCUGGGGGAACAGGAAGUGGAACACAGGGUGCUACCAAACCAUUGUCUACUCCACAUAGACCAUCCACUGCCUCAGGGUCUUCAGUGGUAACAGCCAGUGUGCAGUCCACAGCAGGAGCAUCAUUAUUGGCUAAUGCCUCACCUCUGACUCUCAUGACAUCACCUUUGUCUGUAACAAAUCAAAAUGUGACUCCUUUUGGGAUGCUGGGUGGCCUUGUUCCAGUGACCAUGCCCUUGUUUCCCUUGGAGAUAUUUGGCUUUGGAACGGACACAGCUGGAGUGACAACCACCUCGGGAUCUACCUCAGCCGCUUUCCACCAUAGCCUAACUCAGAAUUUACUCAAGGGUUUACAGCCAGGAGGAGCCCAGCAUGCAGCAGCGCUUUCCCACUCACCUCUGCCUGCACACUCACAGCAAGCAUUUCACGAUGGAGGCCAAAGUAAAGGGGACUCUAAAUUACCACGGAAAUCUCAGUGACUGCCCAGCAAGCAAAGGAGACGAAAUGUUUAGUUGACUGAUGGAAUCUACCUGAUGGGAAAGUACUUAUGUGGUCAUAGGGCUGCUGUUUCUGUCGAUGUUUACAUUCUCUCGUCCCAAGCACUGUGGUGAGGAGGAAAAAGAAAAGAAAACAUUACUUGAGCAAAGCCAGGUGCAGGAGGAAGAAAUGCUUUUGUGCAAACUCAAAUCGGAGCAGGAAUAUGGACAAACUGCUGCUACUGAACCCUGCACUGAGCCGAGGUAUUUCCAUUUGGUUAAUUAAACGCUAGCUACCAGGAAAUGACGCAGAAGUCACGUUCUUCUUCCCACUGCCAUCUUGCCUUUGCAUUCUCAGUUCUACGUGCCCUUUGACCUUUAAUGGUAAAACAUUUCAAACUUUGGGUGGUUUGCUUGUCUCUAGUUUUUAGAAAGCUCUUAUCACUCCUUCCUAAGAAAAAAGGACAGGUAAAUUUUUUUAACCAAAAUCACACAUUUCAUAAAACCCUGAUGAAUUUUGGAUAUGUGAGAGGGCAAAAACAUUCCUAAAUAUGGACCUGUGAAUUUAGUAAAUUACUCCCAUGAAUAUACUCCUUCAGUGCAGGGAUUUUUGUGGUUUUUUUUUUUUUUUUUUUUGGUUUUUUUUUUUAAUUUUUUUGCAACAGCCUUGCUCAUAUUCCAGGUGUAGCUAGCAAACCCCUGUUUUUGAAGCAAGAGCCUUAUUUGAUUCAGUGUAGGUGUUUCCUGUCUAUCCUUUGUGACAGGGCCUUUUAAUGAGUGUUUUUUCUUUUUGUAUAUGUUACGUGUUCGUUGUUGUAUUAAAUAAAGAGGAAUGUACAUACUA